UGUAUGUUAAUCCACCCAAAUGAUAUGGCUCCAUUUCAUUUUUAACUCACUAUAGCUGAAAGCUCAUGUGAGGUUUUUUGAUUAGUUUGUCUGUCAUCCGUCAGUCUGUAAACUUUCCACAUUUUCAAUUUCUUCUCCAGGCCAAUUUCAACCAAACUUGGCAAAACGUAUCAUUGCGCGAUGGGGAUUCAAGUGUGUUCAAAUGGUGCCCCUAGUCACAGGGUUCUGUGCUUAUGGGCCCAAAUGGUUAAAAAGGUACCAUUCUUAAAAAAUCAUCUUGUCAUAAAGCACUGGAGAGAAUGAUUUGAUAUUAUGCACGGGGCAUAUAAGCGACCAUGAGAUUCAAGUAUAUUGUUACUGGUUCUAUCCUCCACCAAUAAAAAAUGGACACCAUUGUAUGAUGGAAAAUUGUUGAGUGUGGCAAAAAAAAAAAAACCAAACAAAAUCAGGGAAUGAAAAAAGGUGUCAUCAAUGUAGUUAAGACAGUAAAAGAUGUCUCUUGCAGAUGUGAAUAUGGCAUUUUUCCAUAAAAUAAAGCAUCCCACAUGACUAUGCUAUCUUCACUUGAGGGCACAAAAAGCAACAUGAUCAUCCUUGCACUUCCAAACUUGGAUUUUAACAUUUUUUUGGAUGAGAAGCAAAGAAAAAUUAACAGUAAAGAAUUUAAGAAUAUGUGAGGUAACCAUAAAUGCAUCAACAACUAGUGCAGAUGUUGCAAAUUGAAUUAAUUUUGGUAGAUUUGGCCGUUGUGGUACUUAGGUUUAAGUAUAUCGGGGCACCUAUUAAUACUAGCUAGUGGGUUCAAACUUUUUUUUUUGGUAGGGCACUGGCUUUUAAAUCUGAAGGUUGUAUUUGAGACUUAGUGAUACUUCCUAACAAUUACACUUCAUUUCUUUCACAGUAAAGUUGUAAUUGGAGGACGCACAGCUUUUGCAGGAGCAAUUUUAGGAUUUAGCAUAAAUUCAUUCAUGCUUCGCUCAAAUUUUUGCUAGGAAGAAGUUUUGCUUUUGUAGCAUGAUACAAAAAUGAUGAUCAAAUAGAUUUUGAGUGUAUUUUACAACUAAUUUAAUCUCCUUAUGAUGUUGAAUGUUUGGCCGGGUUGCAGAACCUGCAUUCAGCUUUGAAGUAUGGUGAAUGCCAGGUGAUCAGCUGGCUGAGCGGACCACUUGUGCAUGCAAUGUACUUUGUGUAAUCAAAUCAUCUCACACCUCUAACUUGACAUCCUUCAAACUUGGUACAAUUGUAUGGAGACAUUAAAGAUGUAUUUUUGACUUUUUGGAAGCACUCUGACAUUUUUCCAAAAUUUACAUUUAGCUGAACUUUGUCACUUUCACAACUUGUUUUGAAAUAGACAGUACCUACUUUGUAAAAUUGACUCCUCUCAUAGCGUUUACUUUACAUUGUUCAGACCUUGCUUGUACAGUUGUAAUGAACACAUUGAAGAUAUGUAUGUGAUUUUUAGGAAGUGUUCAGACAUUUUUUGGAAAAGUUUACAUGUAGUUGAACUUUGUAUUUUUCUCAGUAUGUUAUUAACUCCUCUCACAGCUUUUAUUUGAUAUUCUUCAGACCAUGUACAGUUGUAAUGGACACGAAGAAAAUCUGCAUGUGGCACUUUAGAAGUGUGCUACAUGUUCAUAUCUUUGUAAUUUUCCCAGCAUGAUAUCUAAAGGCAUGGCCUAAAAUAUUUCAUUUUAUGUCAGUGAAUAAUGUAUUAAAUCAACCAUGCCAUUUUGGCCAAUUUUAGUAUUUCUUGAAACCAACCCUAACCUUAACGUCUAUACCUGUAGUCUGUAAUGCAUAUUUAAAUAUAUUUCAGGUUCUGUUCAGGAGUCCCUAAAUGGUAUUCAAUGUUCUGCAAUGCUUCCAGAGGAAACUUGUUAUGUUAAUGAAGAAUAUACUAACGGUGAUGAUGAACAGGUGGAAUCAGUUCAAAAGAAUGUUCCUAGGACAUCUAGAAAAUGCUCAGGCAAGAAUUAAGUUUCAUAUUAUAUUUGCUCUACUGUUCUUAAACAAUUGGAUUAUGCAAUUUAAUCAACUAUUGCUUAUAAACCGAAGCCAUUGAGGUGUCAUUCCAUGUUCUGUCAUCUUUUAACUGUCCAUUCAUCCAGAACUGUAUUACUUUUGUUACUGUUUCUCAAAGGGCAAGGUCUCUGGCUUGAGUACAACUGCAGUUAACAUUUUUAUACGCCCGUCUUAAGACGGGACGUAUUUGGUAUGGCGUUCAUGUCCGUCCGUCUGUUAGCUUUUUCGUGUCCGACCCGUAACUUAAAUACUACAAGGCCUAGAAUCAUCAAACUUUGUCUGUAGAUACAUCUUGGGUAGAAGGUGUGUCGCACAUUAAAACCAGGUCACUGUGACUUUUCAUUAAGAAGAUAUGGCCAUAUAUGGCAAAAACUUGUCCUGCUCAUAACUUGAAAACUAUUAGACCUAGACCUAGAAUCACCAAAAUUGGUCAACUAAUGCAUCUUAGGUAGAAGGUGUGUCGCAUCCUACUUUAAGGUCACUGUGACAUUUAAUUAAGGUGAUAUAAAAAAAGAAUGUUUUAAUGGGUACAAUCUAUACUGUUAACAAUAUGUGAUGGGCGUAUCAUGUGCCGUGGCGGUGCACUUUAUUAAAUGUGUAAACAAGGCAUCACACCUUCAUUUAAAUUAGAACAUGGAUAUAUUUAACAUGGAUGACAUUAUGUGAGAAUACCAAUAAAAACAUGGAUGCCAUUAUAUACAUGUAGCUGAAAAAUUGUUGAGUGUGGAGAUAAACAAUCAAUAAUCUCAUAAAAACAAAGCAAAUACAGAGGACAAGUUUGACUUUGAUGACAUAUUAUGCUAGAAAUACUGCCCUUGAAAAUUUUAAUUUCACCACUUUUAACUUCAGAUGAAAUAUCAGAAUGUGAUAUGUUGGAUUUACAUUUAGUGCAAAAGUAUAUUGAGCAAAGAUGAAGGUCAAAAUUGUUUUAAAGUUGAUGGUAUUUGUUUUUCAAAGUUACUGUCCUUGAAUUGUUAGAUUUUAAUAAUCAUUGUUAAAGUGAAUGAUAAUUGUAUUAUGGGUCAGUACAAGGAAUUCUUGAGGAGAUGAGCAGUAGGGAAACAAACAAAUUGUCUUCUCAGAAAGACUUACUGUAGUUUCAUCAUUUUUUGUCGAUCAUCAAUUUUCGUGGAUUUUGUUGUUGACUUCAUACAUGAAUUCAAAUGUUCAACGAAAUGUUAUAAUUACCUAUAUAUGUUAAAUAUAAAACAUUCAUCCAUGAAUUCAAAUAUCCUAGAAUCUAAGCAUCUUUGCUUGAACCGAAGCACCUACUGAAAACCAUGGAAUUCCAUGACCGGGAAUAUUAAUGAAACCAAAGUAACUAUUUUCAGUAAAGCUUCUCAAGAAAAUACAGCUUUGCCCCAUCCAUCUCACUGUGUUGUACUGUUAUUGCUUCUUGCUGGUUUACACCAGUAAAAUCAACACAACCACCAACAGCCAUAAAACAGAUUUGUAAUGUUAGACAAGCUAGAUGGCAACAUUUAAAAAGAACUUUCAUAUUUUGGAAGACACAUUAUUUCGUUUUGGUGUUCAAAUUAUAAUGCAUUUACAGUUAAUAUAAAAUCAUACUUUUUGUUGUAGUGAAAUGGUCAAGAGAAGAUAACAUUAUUGUAAGAAAUCAUUUUAGGGACUUUGUAUAUCAGACUGCCAUCUGCUCCACAAAUGAGAGACCACUGCAAAGCAAAGAGGCCAUUCUUCAAUUUCUCACAACAACUAACUUACAGAGCAUCAGAGGUUUAACUGCAGAUGAACAAUACACCAAAGUCAGAACAAAGCUAUUUAAUGACAGGCUGUGAGAACAAAAACAGCAACAUCCAUGACAAAAAUGUCAGGAACAAAGUAAAAGCAAUAAACAGAUUUUAGAUCUACAGUUGAAGCUGAUACAUUACCCUAUUGUCUGUCCAUCUGUUGUCAUUUCUUGUCAUCACAUUUCCUUCUAAGUUAACGAGAAGAUUUGCAUGAGACUUUACCGGAAUGAUUUCCUAGUGAUUUAGUUGGUUCUAAUGAAUUUUAUGGAGUUCAACCCCUAAGGAGCCAUGACUUAAAAAGUCAUCACAUUUCCUCCUAGGUCAUUGAUUGGAAUUUGAUGAAACUGAACAAGAAUGAUCCCCUAGUUUCCAAGAUUUCUGAAUGUCACUUUCCUUUUUAUUCUUUGAGCAUAAGGGUUAAAGCUUGAAUUGAGACAUGGUCUAUGUCUUUGAGGUCAAAAGGUCAAGGUCACUGGCCUGAAUGAAUACUUAUAUUUUACAGUUUAUAGCUCUACUGAGCUUAUGUGAUACCCUGUCGUCUAUCCAUCUGUAAACUUAAGGUUCUUUGCAUGGAACAGAUUUUGAUAAAACUCAUAAAAUGAGCUGGUAGUGGUCUAGAUGGUACAAAUCCAAUUUUAUUGGGUUCUGACCCCUAGGGGUCGAAUAAGGGGCCACACCCUUAAAACUUGUAAUAGCAUCUCCUGAGGUAAUGAAUGGAUUUUGAUCAUACCUACCUAGAAUGAUUCCCUAGUAGUUUAGUUGGUCUUAAAUUUUCAUAGGGGUCUGACCCUCAGGGGCCCAGUUAACUGCCACAUCCCAAAAAGUUUGUUAUUUGCCUCUCCUCCUAGGUUAUAAGUUGCAUUUUGAGGAAACUUACUAUGAAUGAUACCUGACUAGUGUGAUUGGUUCAAAUAAGUUCUCAUGGUGGUCCUACCCCUAAGGGCUUAGUAAGGGUGAACCCUAAAACAUUGUUAUUGCAUCUCUUCCUACAUUAUUGGUUGGAUAUUGAUAAAACUUACUCAGAAUAAUCCCCAAGUGGUCUAGUUAGUUUUAUAAAUUUUUAUGGGGGUCAGAACUCCAGUUCCCACUUAGGGGCCAAGCCCUAAAAAGUUUGGUAUCACAACUUCUCCUAGGUUUUUGGUUGUGUUUUGAUGAAACAUACCCAGAAUUUUCCCUUAUUGGUCUAAUUAGACCUUAUAAAUUUUCAUGGGGGUCCGUUCCCUAUGGACCUAUUUAAGGGCCACCCCAAAAGUUCUCCUAAGGCAAUGGAUGGAUGUUGAUAAAACAUACAGCAUAAUCCUCUAAUGGUGUAGUUGGUCCUAAUGAAUUUUUAUCGGGGUCAGACCUCUAGGGAUCCCAUUAGGCACCUCAAGUUUGUUGUCCCAUCUCCUACUCCUAGGUAUUUGGUUCGAUUUUGAUGGAACUUAUGCAAAUUGAUCCCCUAGAAGAUUAUUUGUUCUUAUGAAUUUCAUAGGAAUUGACCCAGUUAAUGGCCAUACCCAAAAAAGAUUAUUAUUGCAUCUCCUUCUAUGUCAUUGACUGGAUUUUGAUAAAACUUUCGCAGAAUAAUCCCCUAGUGGUGUAGUUUGUCCUUAUGAAUUUUCAUGGGGCUCUUGACCCAGUCUGACAAAGGAAGAGGCAACCCCUUAAUAAGUCUGUCAUUGAAUCUUUUCUCAGGUUUUUGGUUGGAUUUUGGAGAAACUUUCCCAGAUUGAUCAUCUGGUGGUCUAGUUGAUCCUUAUGAAUUUUCAUAGGUGUCUGACUGUAGGGGCCAAGUAAGGGUAAUCACAUCUCCCAGGUUAUUAGUUGGAAUUUGAUGAAACUUACUCAGAAUAAUCGUCUAGUGCUUUAGUUGGUGCUAAUGAAUUAUCAUGGGUGUCCUACCCCUACAAGCCCAAUCAGGGACCACACCCAAAAAGUAAUGAUGGCAUCCUCCUAUGUUAUUGGUUGGAUUUUGUUGAAACUGACCAAGAAUGAUCCCCUAGUGUUGUAGUUGGUCCUAAAAAAAAUCCAUCCUUAGGGGCCCAGUAAGAGGUCACAUUCAAAAGAGUAUGUUAUUGCAUUUUCUCCUAAGAUACCAGCUGGAUUUUGAUGAAACUUGCCCUCAAUGAUCCCCUGAUGUAGUUUGUCCCAAUUCUUAUGUGGACAAGUCCCAAGGAACAAAGUUAAUGCUAUGCCUAAGUAAAUUUUAAGAAUUUAAUUAUUUCUGCAUAUGUCAGUAGAGCAUCAGGUCCUCUUGGACCUUUCAUGAACAUGCUGUAACCUACCUACAGGUGGGGAUACUCAUUUAAAUUUCACUUUAAAUAAUAUAAUCAUGUUGUCAUGAAUUCUUAAAAUGCUUUAUGUACAUCUCUGAGAAAUCAUAGUUACUUUUUAAAUUGCAAUAAUGUCUUAAAUACUGGGAGAUUGUUUCAAUAAAUGUUAAAAUGUU